UACGUAGGGACCGAGCGUUGUCCGGAAUCAUUGGGCGUAAAGCGCGCGUAGGCGGCCGCUCAAGUCGGAUGUAAAAAUCCGGGGCUCAACCCCGGACCUGCAUUCGAUACUGGGCGGCUAGAGGCAGGUAGGGGAGAGCGGAAUUCCUGGUGUAGCGGUGAAAUGCGCAGAUAUCAGGAGGAACACCGGUGGCGAAGGCGGCUCUCUGGGCCUGUCCUGACGCUCAGGCGCGAAAGCUAGGGGAGCAAACAGG
rnacentral:rRNA from 1 species